CCCAUUGUGUGGACGUUAUCCACGUUGCCAUUCCUCCCAGCGGCGCUGCUAUCCUUCCUCUUAUCCAUCCAUCCGGCCGUCCAUGAGCUCCUCCCAUGGAGCUGCACGAGCGCCCGAGCCUCCCCGUGCCGCCUGCGUCGGCGAGCACCAGCAGCAAGCCGCGCCUCCCCCUGCCUCUGCUCCCUUCUCCUUUUUCCUCCUCCUUCCUCUUUCUUCUCUCUCUCUUAACCCCCUCUCUCUUCUCGUUGCUACAGGACCGCGAGCUGCCAUGGAUGUUGCAUCGAGCUCAAGUCCAGCAGUCCAACCCUAGGAGCCGCGCCCUCCUCAACCCUGUCCAGAUCCAGGCCGUCCCUGUCGGAUCCAUGUCGCCCCGCCGCAAGUCCCUGGAGAGUUGCCGCCGCACUUUCUUCUUCCAACGCGAGGGAGCAGCGCUCGAGCGCAGCGACGACCGCUCGCCAGGAUGCGUUGACCCGCAAGCCCCCCGCUCGCCUGGACACUCUGCUCGUCGCGUUAACCGCACUGGUUCGCGCGUGGCACGCAUCACACCUAGCCACUGCACGCCCGCUCGCCUGCACGUUGCGCCGAGGGCCCAGCCCCAGCUGCUCAUCCGCAUCGAGACCGAAGGAGACGAACGCUUGCCUCCUAUUCAUCUACGCAUCCACGACCGAGGACGAAGCCGUAAGCUCGCUCCAACCUCCCCGCCCCUGAUCUCACACCUCUCCGCGGCUGGGCUGUUCGUGGCAGCGGGGCGGCGGCUGGGCUGUGUGUUAAGGGGGGCCGCGCCGAGAUCCAGCCUCCUGCCUCUCGCGCCUCAAACAAGCUUCGCUCCGGUGUCCGUCGAGUGCACGCCGUGCUCCGGCCGGUGCCCCGCCUCGGCGCGGACGCCCGCCGCGGCGCCGGCGGCGCGUGCCCGGCGGUGGAGAACGGCAUGAUAAGCGGCGAGAUGCGCGGUGGUGAGCCAGUCCAAUAAGAGAUAGGGUCAUGGGCAUAAUUUUUAACAAAUGCAGGGGUGUUUAGGUAAAAAUGAAACGUUUUCCAGAGUGCCACUUAAACAGGGACUGCGGGUUUAUUUCAAAG
rnacentral:rRNA from 1 species